GGAAGCUUAGCUCUUUGGUAAAGCACCUGCUUUUCAUGCAGAAGGUUGCAGGUUCAGUCCCUGGUGUCUCCA